AUAUUCGGGAAAUGCUGAUCUCGCGUGUAUCACCUUUGUGACGGCAUAGGAAUGGUUGGGACCGUGGUUGAUCACUUGGUUAACCUUUAAAGCUCUGUGGUGGAGAUAAACUGCAAAAACCAAGCCUUUGUCGUCGUGUCAUGUUAAUUCUUAGAAAGAUUCCAUAAGGUGACAUCUGCCGGAUCACGCUAAAACAGCUGUGAAGAUAUCAAGUGUUUCACCAGCGCACAAUAUCAUUCUUGAAGUUGACACAACUUGCGUUAAUUUAAAGUGAAAAUCAUGUUUCAAUUUCUCUUGAAACGAACUCUGUCACAAGCACGUCAUGCUUUGCGCUUUGAAUCACUUCAAUUAACCAAAACUGCAUCACUUUCGAGCCACAUUAAACGAGAACCGAGCUCCACAAGUAUCGGAAUCACAAAGGUCAUGGUUGUAUUGGUUCCUGGGAUGUACUUUGGCGGACGAUUGGGAAGAAACUUGGCUGAAUUUUUAGACGAGUGGAGUAUUUUCAAUGCUGAAGACGACGAUGAAGAUGACUAGGAAUUUAACACGCUUGUGCCGGUGAUGUGAAAUGGUAAUUUUCUACUCUGCACACAAACUUUACCACAUGAAUAUUAUAUUUUAAGACACAAGGAGAAGAUCCCAACAAGAUUGAUUUCUAAAACCAAUAAUAUUUUUAUAAGAACAAAUCUGUAUUAAUUUUUUUUAUUUUUAACAGAAAUUUUACAUUAAGGGUGGCAAAUUCAUAUUUAACACGCAUGAGUAAGUUUUAGUUUUUUUUACUCUGGCUCUACUGUAAAUUAAAUAGCUGAAUCCUAGUUUAUGUGGAUUGAAUAAAAAAUUAAGUGAUGUUUGUGAUGAACAA